UACAGAGGUCCCAAGCGUUGUUCGGAUUCACUGGGCGUAAAGGGUGCGUAGGUGGCUUGGUAAGUUUGAUGUGAAAUCUCCGGGCUUAACCCGGAAAUGGCAUUGAAUACUAUUGAGCUGGAGGUUUGGAGGGGGGACUGGAAUUCUCGGUGUAGCAGUGAAAUGCGUAGAUAUCGAGAGGAACACCAGUGGCGAAGGCGGCCAACUGGACAGAUACUGACGCUGAGACACGAAAGCGUGGGGAGCAAACAGG
rnacentral:rRNA from 1 species